UACGAAGGGUGCAAACGUUGCUCGGAAUUAUUGGGCGUAAAGCGCACGUAGGCGGCUUAGCAAGUCGGAUGUGAAAUCCCUCGGCUACAACCCGAAGGAAGUGCAUCCGAAACUUGCUGAGCUUGAGUACUUAAGAGGAUCGCGGAAUUCCCGGUGUGAGAGGUGAAAUUCGUAGAUAUCAAGGAGGAACACCAAUGGCGAAGGCAGGCUCGCUGGGACGGUACUGACCGCUG
rnacentral:rRNA from 1 species